rnacentral:lncRNA from 1 species
CUGAGCUCUUCAUUUGGUGUUUGAGUCAUCACAUUCAGAAGACAGCCACAGAACCGAUCAUCUGGAGUUAUAACCAAUUCAAAAAUUCGGUUAAAUGUAUUCACAACAUCAUCAAUGCGUUGGGCUUUUCCAUAGCACUGGAUAAGUGAUGUCAAGAUAAAAAUAUUUGGCUGAAAGCCUGCUUCGAACAUCUCAUUCAACGUAUUCUCUACCUCCGACACUUUCCCACAGCAUGAGAAAACGCCAAAACGGUAAUCAUGGAUGAGAAAGUCCAACUAUCAGGCUUGAUUCCAGAACUCUUCAUGUCCUCAAAAAUCUCAACAGCUUUAUCCACGUGGCCAAGAUCAGCACACAUAGCCAAUAUGGAAUUAUAAAGAACUACAUUCAAUCCCAACCCAUUUUCCUAUAAAUUUUAAACGCAUCAUCUCCAUAACGAGCUCUACCAUACGCAUGCAGAAGAGCUGCAUAUGUCACAAAACUUGGUGACAACCCACUAUCAAUUAUAUCCUGAUAGAAUUUCUUCACCUGCCAAGGCCUCUUGGCUCUUCCCAUGGCAUCUAACAAAAUGUUGUAUAUGACCAAAUUUGGCUUAACACCUAAAGCCUUCAUUUCUUCAUAAACAUUCAAACACCCAUCAAAAUUCCCAGCAACCUUAUAAAUCCUAAUCAAUGUAGAGAACGUCGUUGCAUCUAGCCGCCACUCCCCCGUUCUAGCACGGUCAUAUAAGCUCAAUGCCUUUUCAACAUUACCAGCCCGCCCAUACGAAUCAAUCAUAGUCGAAAAGGUAACAUCGUCAGGUUCAAGGAUUGAAGAAAGCAAUUGAAAGUUAAAGAAACGGAGGUGCACGCACCAGCACCAUCACCAUGGAAAAUGGAACCUUUUGCUUUUAUUUGCAAUAAUUGUAAGUAAUUACGUGACCCUACAAUAAUAUUUAUACAUCUCACCAACCUUGUUGACCUUAUUGUUUAAUCACAUAAGAUGGUCUCUCUGCGUCAAAUCUUAUAAAUCAUAUGAGUUUAUUUAUAAAGUUUUAUGGAAUGAAAAAUAUAUUAUCAAUUAACUAACAUAAUUUGCAUAGCCAGUCUUUAAUUAUAUUUUGUUUAUAAGGAUUUAUGGAAUGAAAAAUAUAUUUUAAAACAAAAACAAUAUUAUAAGAAAACUAUCAUUUACAAAGUACGGUCGAAUGAUGUUGUUUCUGGGCAUUUCAUCCGGCAAAAAAAUGACGAGAGAAUAGAUGGAGAUCGAGGGGUUUUUUGAAACAGAUAAUAUAUAGCACUUUGGAAGAAAACAUCCAAAGGGACUAUACAAAGAUAAGAUAGCAUAAAAAACAAAGACUAGGUAGUAAAGCCUCCCAUAUUUGCUGACCAAACAUGUAAGAAGCCAUCAACAAUGGAAAAACUGUGACCAUUUUCUUGAAAAUACUAGCUAGGCACAAAGUCGUGCAUCAUCUAGCUAGAUGAAAGAGGUCAAAACAACAGCAGCAACACAAAAGGGAUGAUAUUAUAAACACAACAACACUAAGGCCCAUCAUGACCACUGGAUUUGAAUCCAACGUUUGAUGUUGGACGUUGACUCAAAUCAUCGGUCUUCUGAACUUGAUUUCCCUUUACAUCAUUUGCAUGUCGGGGGAUAGUAGUACUCUUCAUAAACAUAUGCACUUCUGCACACAUAGUAACCCCUACUUCGGCAACUACAACAACCAUCUCCCCAUAGAUCACACUCUGACCAUCUACAAGGUACAUGAAAAUAUGGAGGUACUGUUGGCAUACAAAAGUGAUGACAACAUGGGCCUCGGCGGCAUUUUUCACAACAUGUGCAUGUGCAUGGUGGUGGAGGUGGUGGUGGUGGUGGUGGAGGUGGAGGUGGAGGUGGAGGUGGAGGAGGUGGAGGAGGUGGAGGUGGAGGUGAUGGCAGCUUGAUCUCAAUGCACUUGACAGCUUCACCUCCUUUGCAGUAUAUUUUUUUCUUAAUCUUUUCAGGACAGCAACACACCACAGAGAUUGUCACUGUAUUUGCCUUCUUGUCAUAUAUCUGGUUCUGGAUUUCUCUUGUUCGUUAAUUAACAUCAUCAAAUCCACAAAACUUAGUCACUUCCUUUGGUAAUAAAAACAACUCAAACCUAGCACUGUUUUUAAAGAGAGAAAAAAAAGACUCACGAGGGAUACCACACAGUACUUUCUUGAUUUUCUUGUGGCAUUUUUCGCAUCCAAGGUCAACCACCUUAAUCACCAUCGUUGUGACUUUCUGUAACAGUACUAGUUAGUGCAUGCAAUUCAAAUAGGACCUCACCAUGAUUAAUCCCAAUAGAAAAACAAAGAAAAUCUCACGAUAAAUUUAUAGACAGAAAGAUUGGAAGAACUCAAAACAUGUUCUGACAUGGAAGAAUCCGCUGUAGAGAUUAUAUAUCAAGAACUUGUACAUAUAUAGGACAUCCACGUAAAAAGAAGAAAAAGGCCACAGAGAUGCAUUAAAAGAUAAAUCAACACACACAAAUAUAUAUCAUACCGUUUCUACCAUGGUUUUGUGUAUGCGUGGAUCCGAUGAGACGAUGGAAAUAUGGAGAGUGUAUAUAUAGAGAGAGGUGGGGGGGGGGGGCGGCCUAAUUUAAUUAAGAUAAAUUAAAUUAAAUGUGAGGCCUUAAUUUAGUUGUCCUUGCAUUUUGAGACCAAUAAGAUGAGGAAAUAUGGACUUGGGAGAGUGGAAACUUGAUGCAACCAUCAUGAACAUCGUCGCUGCUGACCCCACAAUCUUUCAUCAGCAAGAGAUGGUUUUGAUGUGCACAGCUCACCUUCUAUUUUGUUAAUCAAUUCUAAGGUUAAGCAAGGAUAGCCGCCGGGGUUAAAGAAAUUGAUAGUGGCAUUUAUAUAUAUAAAAAAAUUACUAAUUUGGUGAUGUUCAAUUGUGCUCCAUGCACGCCCACACCCAGCACAUGGCAUCCGUAGGUAGUUGUUUUUUUUACAUAAAAAAUAUUAAUAUUCAAGAGUGUUAGGUGUAUUUAUAAAACUAGAUUUAAAAGUCUUGGAUCUACUGCAAUGCCUGAUUAAAAAAUAAUAUUUAUAAUAUUAAUUAUAAUACAAAUAGUAAUAUUUUAAUAUAAAUAAUAAUAUUUUUAAUAUUAAUAAUAAUAUUAAACUUGUUUAGUCCAAGUUCUUACAGUUUUUUAUCCCUUAAAAUUAAAUUUAUGGUCUUUUUUCAAUAGUAAAAAUAUUUUAAAAAAAAUUAUUAAUAAUCAUAAUGAUAACAAUAAUAAUAACAAUAAGAAUAAUAAGAAUACUACUAAUGAUUAUAAACUUGAGUUUGGUGCCACAACUAGACCUAUGUUUCUGGCUCUGGUUCCUCUUAUAAUAAUAAUAAUAAUAAUAAUAAUAAUAAUAAUAAUAAUAAUAAUAAAAUUAUUUGACCCAAGUUCUUAAAGUUUUUAAUUUCUUCAAAUUAAAUUUAUGAUUUUUUUAAUAGUAAUAAUUUUUUUCAAAUUUAAUAAUAAUAAAAAUAAUAACAACAUUAAGAAUAAGAAUAACACUAAUAAUCAUAAUAAUAAGAAGAAUAACAACGAUGACAACAACAACAACAACAACAAUAAUCUUUAAUUUUAAUCUUCAAAUCAAAUCUAUGGUUUUUUUCAAUAGUAAUAAUAUUUUUAAAAAAAUUUAUUAAUAAUUAUAUUAAUAAUAAUGACAAUAAUAAUAUUUAUAAUAUUAAUAAUAAUAUUAAACAUGUCUAACCCAAACUCUUAUAGUUUUUAAGUUUAUCCUUCAAAUCAAAUCAAAUAAUAAUAAGAAAGUUCGUCAAACAAAAAGAACAUUGAUCGAGUUUGCAGUCCUUGACAGAGAUGACAUUGACACUUCUUGCUCAUGCUUGAAAAAUUGACCACCUGGGAGUAAUACAGUUGACCCUGAAAAGAAAAACAAACAAUAUUUAGAUCAACUUGAGGCAAAGAAAGAAUCAAAUGAUGAGUUAGCAAAGUACAUCAAAAUUAUGUUUAGUAUCUAACAAUGAAAAAAGCCUCUUGAUUAUAGACAGAAGAACAAGCAUACUCAAAUCAAUUAGGGGCAAUGAUGUUCAAGAACAAUCUAUGAUCUAGUAAAUUCUAGCAACAAUUAAGAGCAAUGUUGCAUUUGAAGAACAUCUUCAUAUCUUCAUCUUGGAUUUACCCUUUGAAACAUGGCUAUGACUCCUAAAAGAUGUUACCACAUGGUUGCUUUUGAAUGAAUAUCAGAAGGAUGAACACUAUCAAUAUUGAUUGUGGGACAAUGCUGCAUUUAAAAGACAUUUUCAUAUUGUCAUCUUGGGUUUCCCUUUAAAACAUGACUAUAACUCCUAACAAAUGUUAUCAUAUAGUGGCAUUUGAAUGAAUAUCGAAAUGAUGCACACCACCAAGACUAAUUAUGGGACCAUCUAUUUUGAAGCCCAAGGUGCACUUCAUUGUAUAAAUAUAGGUAACAAAUUGAACAUAAUUAAUGAUGCCAAUACAUUUCUUUUCAUAAUCUGAUUUGACAAGCUGAGAGGAAUUCAUUGAUAAAAACACUGAAUAUACAACAAAGAGCCUUUUACUGCAAGAUAUGAGAAGCAUGUUUAGACGACUGAAUAGUUUCCAAGAAGGUUGAUGAUAACGUAUCCGUGAAGAGUAUUGUUUCAACUAAAGGCAAGUCCGUUGUUGAUUAGCAAUCUAAGAUGAGGUCGACACUAGAAAACUUCUUGAUGGGUGUUGGUAGGAUGCACACAACUAAUUAGAGAACAAUUCUCAAGAGAAUCCAGGAGAUGAAUGACUUGUUGAGCUUUUUCAUGAUGAAUUAAGCAACACCACACUUGAAGGCAUUGUUAAGCUUGAUAAACAACGAAAAUAGUAAUCGUUGUAGACAGCCCCGAAUGGGCACUACAUGCACAUUUGAAUGGAAGACUAGUAUGCGAAUGAACUAGUUAGUUAGAAGAACAAAAAAAGCUUUAGGUAACAAACAAAGACACCCUAUGACAAUGGAACAUUAAAGAGGGGGGGACCUAUAUUUCAAACCAAGUAAAAAGACAUGCAUGCCAUCUAACCUCAAAGCAUCGCACAUAUAUUUUGAAUUGUUACAGGAAAAAUCCUUAGUGAAAUCCAGUAAGAAUGUGGACAAAUAAAGAAUCAUUGAGUUAAUAAUAACAAAGAAUUACAGUUUUGAACCUCGAAUGAGAAGAAAAUGAGGCGAACCCUACCAUUAGGAAAAUCUCAAAGAAACGAGAAGAUCAACCCUGCCAGUGGUGAUCCUUACAAAGUGAGAGGAACCCUACUAUUAUGAAAUUCCCAAAGUAAAAACAAGUUUGAACCCUGCCAUCAGGAAGAACACACAUAUUUUUUGUUCUGAUUAAAGGAGAUUGCCAAAAGAGAUCUUAGGUUAACCCAACCACACAUAGUUCUUUUAGUUUUGGUUAAAGGAGGUCACCAGAUGGGAUCUCAUGUUAACUCAACCAUACAUUUCUCUUAGUUCUGGUUAAAGGUGCGACAGUCACCACAACUCAUAAAAUAAGAUGAAUUGCCUACCCAAGGAGCUCUCCACGUAAAAUUACUAUGAUAAAGUGCUUGGUAUUUUUUUCACUUAUGCUUUCUUAUCUAGGUCGUUUCAUUUUUUGUUUAAAAUCAGUCCAAUAUUAAACAACCAAAAAUUAUUGAAAACUUCUCUUGAUGUUUUCAAGUGAUUGACUAUCCACAUAAAUAGUAAAGGAACACAACACAAUAUCGCUCUCUUUCUAUGUAGUCUACGAUGGGUUAGGGAUAAGAGAGUUUUAGCCAAAAUAGUUGAGAUAAGGUUAUUCUUUGUCUAUUUAUACUCAACAAAGACGUUGACAACUUUAAUAUUGAUGAUCCCAAUGGCUUCUAAAGGGAAAAAAAAAAACUAAUUGGAAGAUAGCGAAAGCAACUACUUAGUAUUUCUCUUCUCUUGACUUUUCAUUGUUUUUAUCUGUCUUCAGCUUAUUCUCAAUCAACUUCCACUCAUGUUACUUCUAGAAUAUGGAAUUAAUAUUAUCAUCAACAAAUGAUUUGGUUUUCGCAAUGUUGCGGGACAUGUUAAUGUUUUUUAAAGGUAAAAAAAUGAUGAUACUCUUUUUAGAAGAUUAAUGAAAAUUUAGAAUUUGGUUCAAUAAACUUGAUUAAUUUAAUAAUAUAAUUAUAAAAAACAACAAUGAAUAAUAAAAUAAAAUAAAUUCUUGUCAAUAUCAUGAAAAGAUACCCUUUAAUUAUUCUUGUAAGGUCUCAACAAUUUUAUUUGAUAACAAAGAAAAAAUUGUUUGAGAAAGGGUAAUUUCAUAAAGACAAAAAUAAUAAUAAAAACACAUUCAAAGCUCAAUCACUAGAAAAUCAAAUUGAAGGAUUAUUGAAAAAAAAGAAAUUAAAAAAUAAUAUUUAAAUCUUUUGGGUCUGGCAUGACCUUCAUACUCAAGGCUCUUAGAUCUUACAUGACUGUCUGAUACAAUUUACUUGAGUCUGAUAUAAUUAUCAGAUGCAAGAAGCUUAAAAUAUUAUCUAUACUCGUAAUAUUUUUUUACAUUUAAAAGAAAAUAAUAUUGACCUGUUGUGCAUUACAGAAAAUGUACUAUUAUGUGAUUGUGUGUGUGUGUGUGUGUAACAAAUGAUUUUAGGGGUGUGAUUGGCAGGGAAAAAAAAGAGUCCAAAUGAUUGGUGUUAUGAAUUGGUUGUGGCCUGCCAAUACUACCAGGUCCACUUGAUUAAUAAAAGAAAAGGUCAUCAAAGUCAGCAAUUUACACUUGGGUUAUUUUUUAAAAUUCACUUUUUAAAAAAAUAAAAAUCAAACAAUAAAAUAAAGGCUGGCAACGUGAAGAAAGUAGGUCGGGAAGAAUUUCAAAAAAAUACAGAAAAAAUCAAGUUGUGAUUUAGAAAGAAAUUCAAGACCUAAUUGUACCCCAUUUGUGCCUAAAAAUAGAGAAAAAAAUAUAAAUUAAAUGUCAAAUUAAAUGAUUAUUAGAUGAAUUUGCAUAAUAAUUAAGUCCAAUGACAUAAUUAAAUUUUUAAUAGGCCAAUUUGAUUUUAUUAUGGGCCAAAUUAAAUUUUAAUUAUGUUUAAGAAUUAAUUUGGGUCCAAUUGAAGGAUUUAAUUAAGUGCAGAGACUUAAUUAUACUUUAAAUGAGUCAAAUUAAUUUAUUAUAGGCUUAAUUAGUGAAAAAUUAAGUUUGGGAGUUCAAUUUGGGUUUAAUUAAGAAUAUUAAAAUUUUCAAAAAUCAAAUUUAAUUUAAUUUUGAUUUCUCAAUUAGGAUUAUGAUAUGGAACAAUUAUCACAAGAUUUGAUGGAUCUAAUUGGAAAACAGAAACUAUCUAAGAAAAUAUCUAAAUGAACAGUCUAACUUAAAACAAUAAUAAUAGAAGAUCCGAAUGUUACUUCUUGCUCAAAUUUUUCUAAGAGGCUCUCAAGAUUGUCUUCUUAUGGGAAGAUAAUUUCUUAUUUAUUGAACCGUUGACUUUCCAAAAUUAAACCUAAAAGUUGUUGGGUGUUUCAUUUUUUAUUAGAGAAUAUUAUUCAAAUCUAACUAGAUUUCUCUAUGGUUGUGUUCGUAACCUUAAAAUUUAAAAACCCUAAUUUUAUCUUCAUUGUUAGAAUUUCUUGAUAGAAAAUGUUGAUUUUUCAAUAAAAUGAUGUGCGAGGGAAAAAUCUUAGGCGACAGAGUUGAUGGAAAAUUUGUACUGGGAAAAAAUCAAGACUGCCUAAAUAGUUGGGGGCAUUUUUUAGGUUUGCCCCCCUUUUUUUUUUUUUCAUUUGGAGCCCAAAAUUUCAAAUGCUAUUAAGUAAUACUCUAAUAAAAGGUUUGAACUGUUUAUCAAGAAAUAAAUCAUUGUGGAUUGUAAUUAUUUUUUAAUUUUUUUACUGUACUCUCAUAAGUUCAAAUUAAUGACCAAUUAAAACAUUUUUAUUAAGGAAGAGAAAAAUUCAAAAAUAAAGGAUUAAAAUGAAACAUACAACAAAAAAUAUUUUUGCUAAAACUAGAAGAACUAAACGUAUACUUUAAUCUUCCAACUUUUUAGAUUAUAAAUUUUUAGUCACUAACAAUUUAUGAAAUUUAAUUUUGAUCCCAAAUUUUAUUUUUUUUAAUUUUUGAAUUCCUGUUUUGAGAGAGAAGAAGAAAAGUGGUUGGAUUCUGAUUGUAAAAAGAAAAAGUCUUAAUUGAGAUUGAUUUCAGCCAUAAAAACAUGUGAUUUUAGUUUCAAUAAUUUACUUUUGACAAGUAAAGUUUAGACAAAGUAUUAUUUUUACUUUAAACUUGCCUAGAAUUUUAGAUUUGAACUCGAAAAGAAUUAUGAUUUCGGAUUCAUUAUGAAUUUUGGAGAUAAUUUUUGAGUUAUUAAAGGCUAUAAAUAUGUUUUACAAAGUAUUUAGAGUGUUUUCAUGGUUUUUCAGGUUGAAAUAUUGUUAAAAAUAGUUUUUUUUUUUUUUGAUAAAGAUUAGCUUGAUUUUCAGGUCAUAAAAGUCUAGUUUCCUUCAGCUGGGUAGAGAUUAAGCUUAAUAAUUUCUUUUUUGUUGAAUAAAUAGUUAUCAAUUUAUUUAAUUAAAUGUAUGCAUGAAUUUUUUAAAUUUCAUUUAAGAUUUUUUUUUAUGUACAAAAACAUAUCGUAAAAAUCUGAAUACAUAUUUUUCUAAAAAACUUUAUUCCACCUGUGAGAAAACAUGUCAAUGUAAAAAAAAAAAAAAAAACUAGUAAAAACCUACUUUCUAGUUAGACUAUGUUUGUUUUCUAGAAUUCAGUUUCCGGAAAAAUAUGUCCUCAUUAUUUUGAUUGUUACUUUUUUUAAAAAAAAUAAUUUAUGAAAUGUUAAUUAUUAUUAUUUUAAUUUCUUCAUCUUUCAUUUUUUAUAUUUUUUAGAUUUGAUCUCUAUUAUUUUGAUUAUUAUUUAUUUUAUUUGAAAUAAUUUAUGAAAUUAUAUUUUUUUUCAAUUUCAUUCUCAUUUAACUUUUUAAUUUAUAAGAUUUGUUCCUCAUUUUUUUAAUAAACUUGAGAAAAAUAAAACAUUAAUAAGUUAUUUUCCACUCAUUUUCCAUGACAUAACCAAACACUGGAAAGUGUUUUCCAACUUAUUUUCUAUUACACUACCAAACAUCAGAAAAUAAUUCACUUUCCUGAAAUUCACUUUCUCAUAAUUCACUUUUCAAAAAAAAACUACUUUCCAGCAAACAAGCAGAACUUAAUUUAUUAUUUUUCAUGUUUAAUGCCACCUAUGUGCUUUCUUCUUUAUUUUAUUUUUUUCUUUAAUCAGCUGAUAUCUGACCUUAAGCAACCAACGAAAGAACUAUCUACAGAAAAAUAAAUCUUUGUUACUCUUUUGACGUAAGCAACCAUGGCAAUUAGUUCAUUGUAAGCAAAUGCUCGAGUCUCGUUGAUUUGACGAGGCAGUCACUUAGCACUGCCGACACUGCAGACAGCAAACAAGCUAUGUUCUGUCGGAUCACACAUGCAUAUGGAAUGGAUUUUGAUCCAAUCUUAAAUAACUUUAAAUUUCAAUCCCAAAAAUGCAAGGUACAUGCUAUUCCCUCACCGAAUAAUUGCCUCAAUUAUGCAGACUAUCUAAAGAGAUGCUCAUGAAUCAUCGCACAACCAGUCAAAGCAACAUGAUUUAGGUUUUUAGAAUCUGAUCAGCUAUAUGACGAUUCAAUGGCUAAAUAUAAUGCUUUCUCUUAACGUGUAAAUUCAGAGAAAGAAAAGAUUUGCCAACUCAAAAUUAUUUUACAUUGAAUCUGUCGCAGCAGCUAUAUACAAAAAUAUUUUCCUAUAUUGUGCUAAGGUAUUUUUGGAAUAAGAGUUACAAUAGGAAUAGAUGUCCUUGACAGCAUAUGUUUCCUAAUACAUUACGUAAACGUGAAAUAUUGUUGAUCCUUUCUUAACAUAACGGCACAAAACUCCCUAUCAAGAGAGAAAAUAUCAGCAGAAAAGGAAAAGAUUAUGGCGGGCACGUACCAUUUAUGGACAUAAAAAAAGGAAAAUCUACAUGAGCAUGGCACCUAAGCAGCUGCUGCGUCAGUUGAUUUUCUAGAUUCCAACCAUGACUCAGCUGCAACCUUUGUAGUUAAGAACCAGCCAACCUUAUCAGGAGCCUCAUGGAAUGGAGAAUUUAGUUCCUUCAAAUAUGACUCGAACACAUUGGCUAAACCUUUCUCAGAAUACUUGUGUUUCCCAUGCCCAGUAUUGAUUCCAAGCAAUGGUGGAAGCUGCUCCCCUGCCUCCAGUACCUUGGACAAGUCAUUCAUCCAAAUAUGUAAUGCUGUCAUAGCUGCCCCGGGGGAGAGACUCUUUAGAUUUAGGGACCACUGGGUUGAAGUUCUGGACAUUAUAUUGGUGUAAAUUUCAAGUGUCAAUCCAAGGUCAAGCAACUCGCAAGCUCUCUCCAACAUAUUGAGCUUGAUACAGAGGUCAAUUAAGCAAUUGCAGUAAGCUUUCUUUACUUCAGUGCUAAUACUAUCAAACAGGUCAGUAGCUUCGUUCUUAAAAUUCCCCUCACUGUCUUGCUCCUCUACCAAAAGUUUAACCACAUAACCAAGCUUCGGAUUAGCCCUCUCAGCACAUUUAACAAGCUUGCUGAGCUCUUCAUUUGGUGUUUGAGUCAUCACAUUCAGAAGACAGCCACAGAACCGAUCAUCUGGAGUUAUAACCAAUUCAAAAAUUCGGUUAAAUGUAUUCACAACAUCAUCAAUGCGUUGGGCUUUUCCAUAGCACUGGAUAAGUGAUGUCAAGAUAAAAAUAUUUGGCUGAAAGCCUGCUUCGAACAUCUCAUUCAACGUAUUCUCUGCCUCAGAAACUUUCCCACAGCAUGAGAAAAUGGUAAUCAUGGAUGAGAAAGUCCAACUAUCAGGCUUGAUUCCAGAACUCUUCAUGUCCUCAAAAAUCUCAACAGCUUUAUCCACGUGGCCAAGAUCAGCACACAUAGCCAAUAUGGAAUUAUAAAGAACUACAUUCAAUCCCAACCCCUUUUCCUUCAUUUCCCUAUAAAUUUUAAACGCAUCUUCUCCAUAACGAGCUCUACCAUACGCAUGCAGAAGAGCUGCAUAUGUCACAAAACUUGGUGACAACCCAUUGUCAAUUAUAUCCUGAUAGAAUUUCUUCACCUGCCAAGGCCUCUUGGCUCUUCCCAUGGCAUCUAACAAAAUGUUGUAUAUGACCAAAUUUGGCUUAACACCUAAAGCCUUCAUUUCUUCAUAAACAUUCAAACACCCAUCAAAAUUCCCAGCAACCUUAUAAAUCCUAAUCAAUGUAGAGAACGCCGUUGCAUCUAGCCGCCACUCCCCCGUUCUAGCACGGUCAUAUAAGCUCAAUGCCUUUUCAACAUUACCAGCCCGCCCAUACGAAUCAAUCAUAGUCGACAAGGUAACAUCGUCAGGUUCAAGCCCAAAACUCGGCAUUUUCUCAAACCACUCAACUGCCUUAUCAGCUAAAUUACACAACCUAGCACAACUAAUUAUUGUCGAAAACGUAAAAUUAUCAGGCUUAACACCUCUCUCAAGCAUC